rnacentral:rRNA from 1 species
GGUGGUGCAUGGUUGUCGUCAGCUCGUGUCGUGAGAUGUUGGGUUAAGUCCCGCAACGAGCGCAACCCUUAAGCUUAGUUGCCAUCAUUAAGUUGGGCACUCUAAGUUGACUGCCGGUGACAAACCGGAGGAAGGUGGGGAUGACGUCAAAUCAUCAUGCCCCUUAUGAUUUGGGCUACACACGUGCUACAAUGGACAAUACAAAGGGCAGCGAAAUCGCGAGGUCAAGCAAAUCCCAUAAAGUUGUUCUCAGUUCGGAUUGUAGUCUGCAACUCGACUACAUGAAGCUGGAAUCGCUAGUAAUCGUAGAUCAGCAUGCUACGGUGAAUACGUUCCCGGGUCUUGUACAC